rnacentral:rRNA from 1 species
CGUGUAGGCGGUCAGUCAAGUCCGGUGUGAAAGCCCGGGGCUCAGCUCCGGAAGUGCAUCGGAAACUAGCCGACUUGAGCGCGAUAGAGGAGGGUGGAAUUCCUGGUGUAGCGGUGAAAUGCGUAGAUAUCAGGAGGAACACCGGCGGCGAAGGCGGCCCUCUGGAUCGUUGCUGACGCUGAGACGCGAAAGCGUGGGGAGCAAACAGGAUUAGAUACCCUGGUAGUCCACGCUGUAAACGAUGGGUACUAGGUGUUCGGGGUGUUGACCCCCUGAGUGCCGACGCUAACGCAUUAAGUACCCCGCCUGGGGACUACGGCCGCAAGGCUAAA